rnacentral:rRNA from 1 species
UGAUGUAGGGGAGACUGGAAUUCCUGGUGUAGCGGUGAAAUGCGCAGAUAUCAGGAGGAACACCGAUGGCGAAGGCAGGUCUCUGGGCAUUAACUGACGCUGAGGAGCGAAAGCAUGGGGAGCGAACAGGAUUAGAUACCCUGGUAGUCCAUGCCGUAAACGUUGGGCACUAGGUGUGGGGGACAUUCCACGUUUUCCGCGCCGUAGCUAACGCAUUAAGUGCCCCGCCUGGGGAGUACGGCCGCAAGGCUAAAACUCAAAGGAAUUGACGGGGGCCCGCACAAGCGGCGGAGCAUGCGGAUUAAUUCGAUGCAACGCGAAGAACCUUACCAAGGCUUGACAUGAACCGGAAAGACCUGGAAACAGGUCCCCCGCUUGCGGUCGGUUUACAGGUGGUGCAUGGUUGUCGUCAGCUCGUGUCGUGAGAUGUUGGGUUAAGUCCCGCAACGAGCGCAACCCUCGUUCUAUGUUGCCAGCGCGUGAUGGCGGGGACUCAUAGGAGACUGCCGGGGUCAACUCGGAGGAAGGUGGGGACGACGUCAAAUCAUCAUGCCCCUUAUGUCUUGGGCUUCACGCAUGCUACAAUGGCCGGUACAAAGGGUUGCGAUACUGUGAGGUGGAGCUAAUCCCAAAAAGCCGGUCUCAGUUCGGAUUGGGGUCUGCAACUCGACCCCAUGAAGUCGGAGUCGCUAGUAAUCGCAGAUCAGCAACGCUGCGGUGAAUACGUUCCCGGGCCUUGUACACACCGCCCGUCAAGUCACGAAAGUUGGUAACACCCGAAGCCGGUGGCCUAACCCCUU